rnacentral:ncRNA from 1 species
CUUUUCCUUUAUGCCAUAGAGAUGUUUUUUUCCAAAACACCUACUAAUACCCCUAAGGCUAAGAAAAAGGAGCAUGCCCAAGAAGGGGCUCACAUCUUGUUAGUCAAUUUGUGAAGCAAUGGCUUACCAAAGUGGUGAUCAGUGGUUGGUCUUAGAGGAUCAUCAACUACACUGGGACUAAUACACGACCUAGACUCCUAAGGAAGGCAAUGGUGGGGGGAUUUUUUUCAAUGGGCAAUACUUUGAUGGA